UCCUACGGGGGGCAGCAGUAGGGAAUUUUCGUCAAUGGGCGCAAGCCUGAACGAGCGAUGCCGCGUGAGUGAAGAAGGCCUUCGGGUUGUAAAACUCUGUCCUUAUCGAAGAGGGGUGGGUAUGUGAAUAAUGUACUCAUAGGACGGUAGAUAAGGAGGAAGCCCCGGCUAACUACGUGCCAGCAGCCGCGGUAAUACGUAGGGGGCGAGCGUUGUCCGGAAUCACUGGGCGUAAAGGGCGCGUAGGCGGUUUAAUAAGUCAGUGGUGAAAACUGAGGGCUCAACCCUCAGCCUGCCACUGAUAC
rnacentral:rRNA from 1 species